CCGUAGAUCCGAUCUUGU
rnacentral:ncRNA from 2 species